rnacentral:rRNA from 1 species
GACGAACGCUGGCGGCGUGCUUAACACAUGCAAGUCGAACGUGAUUUUUGUGGAAAUUCUUUCGGGAAUGGAAAUGAAAUGAAAGUGGCGAACGGGUGAGUAACACGUGAGCAACCUACCUUACACAGGGGGAUAGCCGUUGGAAACGACGAUUAAUACCGCAUGAGACCACAGAAUCGCAUGAUAUAGGGGUCAAAGAUUUAUCGGUGUAAGAAGGGCUCGCGUCUGAUUAGCUAGUUGGAAGGGUAAAGGCCUACCAAGGCGACGAUCAGUAGCCGGUCUGAGAGGAUGAACGGCCACAUUGGAACUGAGACACGGUCCAAACUCCUACGGGAGGCAGCAGUGGGGAAUAUUGCACAAUGGGGGGAACCCUGAUGCAGCGACGCCGCGUGAGCGAGGAAGGUUUUCGAAUCGUAAAGCUCUGUCCUAUGAGAAGAUAAUGACGGUAUCAUAGGAGGAAGCCCCGGCUAAAUACGUGCCAGCAGCCGCGGUAAUACGUAUGGGGCGAGCGUUGUCCGGAAUUAUUGGGCGUAAAGGGUACGUAGGCGGUUUUUUAAGUCAGGUGUGAAAGCGUGAGGCUUAACCUCAUUAAGCACUUGAAACUGGAAGACUUGAGUGAAGGAGAGGAAAGUGGAAUUCCUAGUGUAGCGGUGAAAUGCGUAGAUAUUAGGAGGAAUACCGGUGGCGAAGGCGACUUUCUGGACUUUUACUGACGCUCAGGUACGAAAGCGUGGGGAGCAAACAGG